ensembl:lncRNA
ACUCCUCCAGAGUCACCUUCCUUAAAGACGCAUCCUGUAAAGACACCUCCUGUAAAGACCCCUCUUGUAAAGACACCUCCUGUAAAUACCCCUCUGGCAGGAAACACAACGGACACGGAAGGCCCUGCAUAACAAAGGAGGAAAGGGAGGAGAAGGUUGCAGCAGAGACCCAAUUCUUGGCGUUAAAUGAGUCUCCAGCCAGGUGUGAGGAGACUCCCAGAGAGGAGGAGGGGCCACGAGUGAUCCCAACUCCGCCGGGGCCCGCCCCCACCCCGAGCCACUCCCACCAGAAGGAGCACACAGAAGAUCAAAGACUACAGUUGCUGGAAUGUGAGCUGAGCAAGAAGAGAAAAGAAUG